rnacentral:lncRNA from 1 species
GCACCCUCGAAUUCUAGGUGCUUGUGCCAUACUUGGUAUUUAGAGGGUCAGUUGAGCGUGCACUCACAAAGAAAAGAAACUAUAAACCAUGAAACAAUCAUGUAAAGCUUUAGUUAUAAAAGAAGAGAAAGAAAAAACAUGCUAUAUAUGUCUUUGCCUUUAAGCUUUAUGUUAUUAAGGCUUUUGAAUGUCUUACAAC